rnacentral:tRNA from 1 species
GUAGUGGUGGUUCAGUGGUAAAAUUCCUGCCUUCCAUGUAGGAGACCUGGGUUUGAUUCCCGGCCAAUGCA